rnacentral:tRNA from 1 species
GGCAAGUUAGCUUAGUUGGUUAGAGCAUGAUGCUAAUCACACAAAGGUUGUGGGUUUGAUUCCCAUAUGGGUCA